rnacentral:tRNA from 2 species
GGCAGGGUAGCUCAGUUGGUUAGAGCACGGCAUUCAUAACGCCGGGGUCGCGGGUUCAAGUCCCGCCUCUGCUA